CUUAAAGCCUUCCGAACAGUUUCGAACUGAUGGAAAACGGCUAGCACAAAAUGUUUUCCCGAUGCUUCAGAAAUACUUGAAAAAUUAUUCCGUGGCUGAACCGUAUUUUGGUGGAAGUUUCGGAAAAAAGACAGACACUAUCAAUCCCGACCUCGAUCUAGUCAUUGUAGUCAACAAUGUUGAUAAUCCACCUUAUGACGACGUACUGGAACAAUUUGAAGAUAUUCUUUUGCUGAAUGAACGUAAAUUGAAAAUUAGGAGCGGCUCAAUAAAGAGAAAAUCAAAAUUCUCCCUGCAACGAACAAGUCCCCAGAGCAAGUUUACACCAUACUAGAACAAAAACCAGACAUUUUUUACUCAUACAGUAGCAGUUUGGUGAAGAGACAAAUUGAGUUUAUGACUUCCCAUGACAGUAGCUUCGUCCACAUCAUUAUUCGCAUUGUUAAGUAUUGGUUCAAGUCUCUCAGUUUCGGAGAAAAAUAUUUAAAUGGAAAAGGCAUAAUUAUGGAACUGCUGGGAAUUGCGGCUGCAGGACUAGAGGAAAGUACUUUUAACUCGGGAUCCCUAUCUGUCGUUCGUACUCUAAGAAGAGUGCUUGAUAUGGUAGAGAAAAUUGAUUCAACCAAAUAGGCCUUUGAGCAGAUUCCUGAAACAAAGAAGUGGAUUCGUAUUCCAGAAUCCAAAUUGAAGAUUCAAAAUUCACAUCAGUUGAUUCCUAGGAUUGUGGGAACCGAAAACAUCUUAUCUAGUGGAUUCUUCAUUAUCGAGCCAGCUAACCCUUUCAACAAUUUGAUGGGAGGCCAAGACGAAACGGUAAUUCAAACAUUGAAAGAAUAUGCCGGCGUAACAAAAACAAGACUUUCUUUACUUAUGAACCAUUACACAAAAUUCCCGAACGGUUUCCCGAACCAAGUUAUCAUAAAUAAAUUUUUUGAGCCACAGCCGGUGUGUCUGAAAAAUCAAUUUUCUUUUGAAGUUCCUGUCGAUUUUGUCAUAGACUAUAGCCACCCUUAUUCCUCGGAAUAUUGUGAUAUGAAAGUUCGUAAUGAAGAGCCACUCCAACGAAAGGAAGUUGAAUUGGCUGUUGAGACCAUUAAAUGGAGACUGCUUUCUGCAGUCACUGUUCUCAAAACUAAUGAAGACGUGACACCAACAGACAUUAGGAAUGCCAUAGGUGCUAUGGUUAAAUCGACGUUAGAUGUCCAACUGGCGGCAUCCACAACGAAUAAUCACGACGACCAUGACAUCUCCUUAUCGGUUCCAUACAAAUCGAAUGGUGAAACCUAUGCUGUUAAAUUUAGUAUGAGCUGGAGUUGGAAGCGUUGAAGAGUUGUUCGGUUCAAGGAGUUUUUGUAAUUACAAUCAUUACAUUGAAAUUUUACAAGAAAA